CCGAGUACUAUAACUCAUAACCCUUUGUGAACCUUUAUACCUGUUGCUUCGGCGGCGCGUCCUCCGGGGCGUGCCCGCCGGUAUCAUCAGAAUCUCUGUUUGAACCCGACGAUACAUCUGAGUGUUCUAAGCGAACUGUUA
rnacentral:misc_RNA from 1 species